AGCGACUGCAGGAGAAUCAUUUCUAUAGUAUUCGACCUUCUCUUGGUUUCCUUCAAGAGCCACAGAAUCCACCCUGGUUGAUGAUUGUAUAUCCCCGACGCCCCAGAGUGAAUACCCACACCUUCUGGUUUCCUCUCGCUCUGUCCGCAAGGAUGGCGGCGGUUGCCUCGCGCAGCUGCUGUAUAGAGAGAUUGCGCCUCGCUGCUUCGGCACGGGGCCUGGCUUUUAUCUUGAUGAUCUCGUCCCCGUCUGUGGUCUGCCCUCGGGCGCGCGGGCGGGGUGGGUGUCGGUGGACGUCUGACAGGC
rnacentral:snoRNA from 1 species